UUAAACCACCCAUUAGAGGAAAUGAGAUUUUCAGUACAAAAGGCUUAGACUUGUAAUCGGGCUUCAGAAGAGGGACAGUAACUAAAACAACCUUGAAAACGAACAGCAUGUGUCCUGCUUUGCGCCUUUUGUGCUUUCUGCUAUUGGGAAAGAAAAGGGAAACCACACCAAAGACCUCUCUGACCCACCUUCAGUGUUAUGAAAUGAUAAUUAAUAAAACAUGCUGGCAAACAUUCAACAGCAGCAUGCAUUCCUUGGACAGGGGGAGCUGGUGCACAUGGAAUUAUGUCAGCAGCCUCUACAGUAAUUAUACUGAGUGCACAGAAUUGACAGCUGACUGCUUAGGCAUUCCCUGGCCGAACAAGUUAAUAGAAGAUCAUUU